AAAUUGCAAAAAUGAUCGACUU
rnacentral:snRNA from 1 species